UAAUAAUUAUUAUUAUUAUUAUAGCACACCUGAAAAGUUAAAUUGUAGAAGGUCCAAAGUUAAGUUAAAUUGUAGAAGGAAUUGGUUGAAUCUUUAAUUGAAGCAAUAUCUUUAUCAAGUAUCAUUUCAUGAUAGGAAAAAUGUAGAUACAAUUUUUGUAUAGAUUUUGUAAUUACAAAAGAAUUCACAUUACUCGAAAAUAGUAACUUUUGCUAAAAUUAAUCUAUUAAUUAUCAGGAGUAUUUACAAGUAUUUGCUGGAAAAAUUAAAGCGUCACAUGUCUCUUUGAUUCAUCAAAGGAAUAAAUUGCAUUUCUUUUAUCUAAAAAACUCAUUGCUUAAUGUCAUGGGCCAUUUUUGCAAAGAUGGUGAAACAAAAUGGAAGAUGUAUGUGGAAUGAUUCUUUAGACUUUAGGAUUUAUGAAUAUUUUUAUCAUAUGUACAGUGUUUUGGAUGAUAAUGUCAUGUAAAUGACUUCUUAAACUAUGUUGAAUAAUAAAAUUGAAAUUAAUAUUUCUAUCCCUUCGUUAUUAUAGGCAUGAAAGGUUAUGGUUGAAAAUUGUCAUAUUUAAAAGCCAAAAAUAAAUGGUUGAAUGGUGCUCUAAAGCACUAACGUAUCCAAAGUCGCAUUCAUAAUUAAUUAAUUGUUUAAUUCUGUUUUUUUUUUUUUUAAAGUUGUAUAAUUCAAGUUAUAUAUAUAUAUGCGAUGCUCGAAUUACAAAUUAACGGACUAAUAAAUAAAAAAUACAUUGGAAACUAAAAUUGAUAGUGUUUUGAGAUAAAUAUUUCUUUUACAAAUAUGAUUGUUAUUUUGAGACGAAGAGAGUAGUAUAUUUGGAUGCACUUCUAUGAGGACCAAUUUGAACUAGACUAAGGAGAAUGGUCGGAGUCACUACAAGAAUUUUUCAUUUUUAUGACACUUGCCUGCGACGGUUCUAAAAUAACCGUCCUCACCACAACAUUGCAACAGUUCUUAGAACUUUUUGUCAACCGCCGCCGCUAUUUAAGUUUCGCCAAACCCUAAAUUUUUUAAAACCCCCCAAAUCUCUCACACUCUGUCAACACUGAAGGAAACGAAAUCCAACUUUGAAGAAAAAUGAAAUCACCUAUGUCAAAGAAGGUGAUUUACCAUCUUGCAAACAAACAAAAUCAACUAUUGAAAAGUUUCCAGAUUGAAUGGCACUUCUUCUUGCCUCUCUCCGGUGACAGUGUUGCUUCCUACCUCUCUUCGGUGACGGCGCUUCUUCAUGCCUUUCUCUGGUGACAGUGUUGCUUCCUACCUCUCUUUGGUGACGGUGCAACACAACACUUCUCCAUCGACAGUGCAACGCAACACAAUAGCAAUGGAUAAGUCAUGAAUUAAGAAGCGAUACACAUCGGCUGAAUAUGAUCAAGGGAAAAAAGGAUUUAUUAAUUUUGUCUUUCAAGAUGAAUUAGAAAAUGGCGAAAUAAUAUACCCUUGUAAACAUUGUGGUUUCAAAAAACCGCAUAGUAGAAGUGUAAUGUACGAUCACUUAAAGUGAAAACCAUUUCCAAAGGGAUACACCCUUUGGAUACAUCAUGGGGAGCCCAUAGGAGAAACUAGUACUAUCUCACCUAGUAGUGUUUCAAAUAUAGUUCAAGACACAUUUGUCGUUGAUGAUCAUAUGCAGAACAUGAUCAACAAUGCUUUUGGAGUCAAAGAUCAUGCAAACGAAGUAUCCAUUGAAUCAAAUGCAGAGAUUGAUCGAAAUGAAGAUAUUGUGCCAAAUGCAAGUCAACAAAGGUAUGAAGAGGCCAAAGAGUACUUUGAAUUAAGUAGAGAAGGAGAAAAACCUUUGUAUGAAGGGUGUGUUAAAUAUUCCAGACUAAGUUUUUUGGUAAAGUUCUAUCACAUCAAAUGUUUAUGUGGAAUGACUAAUAAAGCCAUGACAAUGGUUUUAGAGUUAUUAAAAGAUGCAUUUGAAUUUGAAAAUAUACCAAAUUCAUUCUAUGAAGCCAAGAAAACAAUCACCAAGCUUGGUUUAAA